rnacentral:rRNA from 1 species
GACGUAGGGCGCGAGCGUUGUCCGGAUUUAUUGGGCGUAAAGAGCUCGUAGGCGGCUUGUCGCGUCGACCGUGAAAACUUGGGGCUCAACCCCAAGCCUGCGGUCGAUACGGGCAGGCUCGAGUUCGGUAGGGGAGACUGGAAUUCCUGGUGUAGCGGUGAAAUGCGCAGAUAUCAGGAGGAACACCAAUAGCGAAGGCAGCUCGCUGGGACGUUACUGACACUGAGGCGCGAAAGCGUGGGGAGUGAACAGG